GGCCUAACACAUGCAAGUCGAACGGUAGCACAGAGGAGCUUGCUCCUUGGGUGACGAGUGGCGGACGGGUGAGUAAUGUCUGGGAAACUGCCCGAUGGAGGGGGAUAACUACUGGAAACGGUAGCUAAUACCGCAUAACGUCGCAAGACCAAAGAGGGGGACCUUCGGGCCUCUUGCCAUCGGAUGUGCCCAGAUGGGAUUAGCUAGUAGGUGGGGUAACGGCUCACCUAGGCGACGAUCCCUAGCUGGUCUGAGAGGAUGACCAGCCACACUGGAACUGAGACACGGUCCAGACUCCUACGGGAGGCAGCAGUGGGGAAUAUUGCACAAUGGGCGCAAGCCUGAUGCAGCCAUGCCGCGUGUAUGAAGAAGGCCUUCGGGUUGUAAAGUACUUUCAGCGAGGAGGAAGGUGUUGUGGUUAAUAACCGCAGCAAUUGACGUUACUCGCAGAAGAAGCACCGGCUAACUCCGUGCCAGCAGCCGCGGUAAUACGGAGGGUGCAAGCGUUAAUCGGAAUUACUGGGCGUAAAGCGCACGCACGCAGUCUGUCAAGUCGGAUGUGAAAUCCCCGGGUCUACCUGGGAACUGCAUCCGAAAUUGCAGGCUAGAGUCUUGUACACGGGGGUAGAAUUCCA
rnacentral:rRNA from 2 species